rnacentral:rRNA from 1 species
AUAUGAACCGUUAUAACCGGCGAUUUCCGAAUGGGGAAACCCAGUGUGUUUCGACACACUAUCAUUAACUGAAUCCAUAGGUUAAUGAGGCGAACCGGGGGAACUGAAACAUCUAAGUACCCCGAGGAAAAGAAAUCAACCGAGAUUCCCCCAGUAGCGGCGAGCGAACGGGGAGCAGCCCAGAGCCUGAAUCAGUAUGUGUGUUAGUGGAAGCGUCUGGAAAGGCGCGCGAUACAGGGUGACAGCCCCGUACACAAAAAUGCACAUGCUGUGAGCUCGAUGAGUAGGGCGGGACACGUGGUAUCCUGUCUGAAUAUGGGGGGACCAUCCUCCAAGGCUAAAUACUCCUGACUGACCGAUAGUGAACCAGUACCGUGAGGGAAAGGCGAAAAGAACCCCGGCGAGGGGAGUGAAAAAGAACCUGAAACCGUGUACGUACAAGCAGUGGGAGCACGCUUAGGCGUGUGACUGCGUACCUUUUGUAUAAUGGGUCAGCGACUUAUAUUCUGUAGCAAGGUUAACCGAAUAGGGGAGCCGAAGGGAAACCGAGUCUUAACUGGGCGUUAAGUUGCAGGGUAUAGACCCGAAACCCGGUGAUCUAGCCAUGGGCAGGUUGAAGGUUGGGUAACACUAACUGGAGGACCGAACCGACUAAUGUUGAAAAAUUAGCGGAUGACUUGUGGCUGGGGGUGAAAGGCCAAUCAAACCGGGAGAUAGCUGGUUCUCCCCGAAAGCUAUUUAGGUAGCGCCUCGUGAAUUCAUCUCCGGGGGUAGAGCACUGUUUCGGCAAGGGGGUCAUCCCGACUUACCAACCCGAUGCAAACUGCGAAUACCGGAGAAUGUUAUCACGGGAGACACACGGCGGGUGCUAACGUCCGUCGUGAAGAGGGAAACAACCCAGACCGCCAGCUAAGGUCCCAAAGUCAUGGUUAAGUGGGAAACGAUGUGGGAAGGCCCAGACAGCCAGGAUGUUGGCUUAGAAGCAGCCAUCAUUUAAAGAAAGCGUAAUAGCUCACUGGUCGAGUCGGCCUGCGCGGAAGAUGUAACGGGGCUAAACCAUGCACCGAAGCUGCGGCAGCGACGCUGAUGCGUUGUUGGGUAGGGGAGCGUUCUGUAAGCCUGCGAAGGUGUGCUGUGAGGCAUGCUGGAGGUAUCAGAAGUGCGAAUGCUGACAUAAGUAACGAUAAAGCGGGUGAAAAGCCCGCUCGCCGGAAGACCAAGGGUUCCUGUCCAACGUUAAUCGGGGCAGGGUGAGUCGACCCCUAAGGCGAGGCCGAAAGGCGUAGUCGAUGGGAAACAGGUUAAUAUUCCUGUACUUGGUGUUACUGCGAAGGGGGGACGGAGAAGGCUAUGUUGGCCGGGCGACGGUUGUCCCGGUUUAAGCGUGUAGGCUGGUUUUCCAGGCAAAUCCGGAAAAUCAAGGCUGAGGCGUGAUGACGAGGCACU